rnacentral:rRNA from 1 species
UGCCAGCAGCCGCGGUAAUAGGUAGGUCCCGAGCGUUGUCCGGAUUUAUUGGGCGUAAAGCGAGCGCAGGUGGUUUAUUAAGUCUGAUGUGAAAGCCCGGCGCUCAACUCCGGAAUGGCAUUGGAAACUGGUUAACUUGAGUGCAGUAGAGGUAAGUGGAACUCCAUGUGUAGCGGUGGAAUGCGUAGAUAUAUGGAAGAACACCAGUGGCGAAGGCGGCUUACUGGACUGCAACUGACGUUGAGGCUCGAAAGUGUGGGGAGCAAACAGGAUUAGAUA